GACGAACGCUGGCGGCGUGCUUAACACAUGCAAGUCGAACGGAAAGGCCCUGCUUUUGUUGGGUGCUCGUGUGGCGAACGGGUGAGUAACACGUGAGUAACCUGCCCCUGACUUUGGGAUAACAUCAGGAAACUGGGGCUCAUACCGGAUAGGAGCUCCUGCUGCAUGGUGGGGGUUGGUAAGAUCCGGCGGUAGGGGAUGGACUCGCGGCUUACCAGCUUGUUGGUGAGGUAGGGGCUUACCAAGGCUUUGACGGAUAGCCUGCCUGAGAGGGUGACCGGGCACAAUACUCCUACGAGACGGAGCAGACUCCAACCGGAGGCAGUGGUGGAGAACAUGGCACAAUGAGGCGACGCCUGAGGCGGCGGUGCCGCGAUCGUGAUAAUCGCCUACUGGGGGAGAACAGCUUUCGACUGAACCGAAGCGUUAGUGACGGUACUGGGUAAAGAAGCACCGGCUAACUACGUG
rnacentral:rRNA from 1 species